rnacentral:rRNA from 1 species
CAUGUAGGCGGCAUGACAAGUCUGGUGUGAAAUAUCUCGGCUCAACCGAGAAAACGCACUGGAAACUGUCAAGCUUGAGUAUCGGAGGGGAAGCUAGAAUUCCUGGUGUAGGGGUGAAAUCUGUAGAUAUCAGGAAGAAUACCGGUGGCGAAGGCGAGCUUCUGGCCAGAUACUGACGCUGAGAUGCAAAAGCGUGGGGAGCGAACAGGAUUAGAUACCCUGGUAGUCC